rnacentral:lncRNA from 1 species
AGUUGCUAUAAGAAAAGAUGAGUUUUCGGCCGGACGCGGUGGCUCACGCCUGUAAUCUCAGCACUUUGGGAGACCAAGGCGGGUGGAUCACAAGGUCAGGAAAUCGAGACCAUCCUGGCUAACACGGUGAAACCCCGUCUCUAUUAAAAAUACAAAAAAUUAGCCGGGCGUGGUGGUAGGCGUCUGUAGUCCCAGCUGCUCGGGAGGCUGAGGCAGGAGAAUGGCAUGAACCCUGGAGGCGGAGCUUGCAGUGGGCCGAGAUCGCGCCACUGCACUCAGCCUGGGCAACAGAGCAAGACUCAGUCUCAAAAAAAAAAAAAAAAGAAAAGAAAAGAUGAGUUUUCUACCUCAUUUAUUUGGUGAAAAUAAUGAAGAAAAGCCAGCGGGACUAAGGAAAAGCAGAAUUGGUGUCCUUAUAAUAAGAAGAGGAAGAGACCCAGUGUUCUCUCUCCACCAUGUGAGGACAAGGCGACAAUGUGGCCAUCUGCAAGUUGGAAAGAGAGUCCUCCUCAGAACUGGACCCAACUAACGUCCUGAUCUCAGACUUCCAGCCUGCAGACUGUGAAAAAAUAAAUUUUUGUUGUUUUAAGACACAAAGUCUGUGGCUUUUGUUAUGGCAGCUCAAGCUGACUAAUUCAAUGGCUUAAUGGUA